UUCAACAUCGGCUUCUUCCCGCGAAACUCAGUGCAAAAGGAACAAGCGCCCCAUUGCCGAUUUCCAGCGUGAGUCACCUUUUUCUUCGCACGUGGCUUGCGUUGCUUGGGCACCCGUGAUUGGUGGAGUGGAGUCUACAACUCCCUGCACAGCGAUCAACCCUGGAAAGGGUGCGCCUCGGGUUCUCGACAGCCCGGGAAAGCUGAAAUUUCUUGUUUCGCGACUGCCGUCGCGCACUCUGGAGCCGCCGCAUUGAGCUCAUUCUCCACCGACUAAGGGGCCAGCGUGCCUACGAAGCGAUGGCCUCAACAGCGCUUUCUGCUGCGGAGCUGGAGGCGCAGUUCGCCAACGCCAAGGCAUACCUCAUGCGGGCGGACAAGGAUGGCGUGAGCGCCUAUGACCAGCUCACACGCCUCAUGGAGCUUCUUCUUGAGGAGAACCCUGAGAACGUUGCAGGCGAUCCUUCAAAGCUGCACGAGAUCUUAAGCUUCAUCCAGACGCACAGCUUCGCGUGCGGCGAGAGUACCUCUGCGUGCUAUGAGGCUACACAGGUGCCUGCCGAGGAGCUCCGGCGCUUCGAGGACAACAAGAAGCUCUUUGAUCUCCCAGCCCCGGAGGUGCGCACCGUCAUCGAGCAGCCUGAUCCGUACACGACCAUUACCACCACCACCGUGGUGCCGCUGAAGGCGCCGUCCUUCGAAUCUGUUGCGGCUCAAAACAAGUACUGGACGGCCGCGGGCUGCGGCCUCGCCGACGAGGAAGCAUUCCUACUUGACCGCUCCAUCACCAACCUCGCCAUGGAGAAGAACCUGCAGGACAUCAAGUUCUUUGGUAAGAUUUUUGGCACACAUAGCGACUACUUUGUUCUCCGCACGCGGCGCUACCUCGAGGCGGGCGAAACCGUAUACGUGGAAACCAACACGAUGGGAAAGCCGCCGCGAAAGAAGGGCAUGGUGCCCGUGCAGGCUGAGCCAGGGUACGUCGGGGUGAAUCGCUACACGUUCUGGGUAACCGCAUCGCCCUCCGACAAGUGGGAGAAGCUGCCGGAUGUAACGCCGCAGCAGAUCAACGCGGCCCGCGAAACGAAGCGCUUUUUUACUGGAGACUUGUCAGCGUCUGUUGCGGCAACGUUUCCAUGGGGAGAGGCCGCGUACCUGCGAGCACAGCUGGCGCGCAUCACCAGCAGCACAACCAUUGCUCCCCAAGGCGCGCUGGAAGAGCCAGAGCCGGAACAGGAAACUGAAGAGGACGAGGAUGAGGACGCAGAGGAUGGCGCGCAGCGGAAGCCGAAGGAGGCCAAGUACAAACCGCUGGUAGUCCCCUCGCCAGAUUACGGCGAGGAAGAGGUGGAUGUGGCGCAGCUGACGAUAGACCGCUGGGUACACGCGGAGGGGUACAUUUACAAGAACGGUCGACAAACAAAGGUGCCGGAGAAGCCUGAGCCAGAGGAGGGGGAGGGGGAGGGGGAGGAGGAGGCCGAACCUGAGCCGGCCGAACCCGAGGCCGAUGCUCAGGGCGAAGAGGAGGAGGAGGAGGGGGAGCCGGAGGAGGAUGAAGAAGUGGAGCUCUUUGCUCCUAUCCAGAACGACCACCUCUACGGCGUCGUCGACAUCCCGCAGCCGCCGCCAGCCAUAAACGACGAGGACGAAGAGGAGGAGGAGGAGCCCGAGGAGGAGGGCGAGGAGGAGCGCGGGGAGCCGGAUAACACGCCACUGAAGCCUUUGCGCGACGAUGACGUCCCAGAUGACGACCCGACAAAGAUGAAGAUUGCAUGCUGGACGAUGCGCGUGGAGAACAAUGUUAGCAAGGCUCACCGCAUGGCGGUGGUGCAAUCCCUUCGCUGGCCCGGCGCCACUGCAUACGCGGCUGAGGGCGGCAAGCGCUGGUCUUGCGUGUACUUUGGCAACGGCAUGAAGAAGACGGAUGCGGCCUUCACACCACCGCCCGCUCCCCCCGUGCAAUCAGAGUGCGCCGACAUCACAGAGGUGGAAGAUCCAACCGCCACUGUGGAGAAGCUCGUUCGGCGCGGCGAGGAAAUCCCGGAAGCCGACAGCGAGGCGGAGCCGGAUGAGCUGGAGGAAGAGGAGGACAGCUAAAGGAGGUUCCGCGGGUGCGCGCGUAUCCACCCCCCUUUCCCUUUCCUCCAUCGGCCGCACAUUUCCAGAUACCCUCCUCAUGGAUGUAAUUCAAGCAUGAAGAGUGGACAGUGGCCUCCUUGCCUUUCCUCCCCGAUGGAGAGAGGCUCCAAUGGACUCUCUUGCUGUAUGUACUCGUUUCUUUUCGUCUUUGCAUGUAUGAUUCAAGAUGUUCUGUCGACAUUUUAC
rnacentral:misc_RNA from 1 species